rnacentral:pre_miRNA from 1 species
CUGGGGACACUAGAGCAGGGUAUGAAAUACAAUUCAUCCCCUGCUCAAAGUUACCCCAG